rnacentral:rRNA from 1 species
AAUCAACGCUGGCGGCGUGCCUAACACAUGCAAGUCGCACGAGAAAGUGGAGCAAUCCAUGAGUACAGUGGCGCACGGGUGAGUAACACGUGAAUCAUCUACCUCCGAGUGGGGAAUAACCUAGAGAAAUCUGGGCUAAUACCGCAUAACACUUACGAGUCAAAGCAGCAAUGCGCUUGGAGAGGAGUUCGCGGCAGAUUAGUUAGUUGGCGGGGUAAUGGCCCACCAAGACGAUGAUCUGUAUCCGGCCUGAGAGGGCGCACGGACACACUGGAACUGAAACACGGUCCAGACUCCUACGGGAGGCAGCAGUGGGGAAUUUUGCGCAAUGGGGGAAACCCUGACGCAGCAACGCCGCGUGGAGGAUGAAAUCCCUUGGGAUGUAAACUCCUUUCGAUCGGGACGAUUAUGACGGUACCGGAAGAAGAAGCCCCGGCUAACUUCGUGCCAGCAGCCGCGGUAAUACGAGGGGGGCAAGCGUUGUUCGGAAUUAUUGGGCGUAAAGGGCGCGUAGGCGGUUUGACAAGUCUGAUGUGAAAUCUCUGGGCUCAAUCCAGAGUCUGCAUUAGAAACUGUCGGGCUUGAGUAUGGGAGAGGUGAGUGGAAUUUCCGGUGUAGCGGUGAAAUGCGUAGAUAUCGGAAGGAACACCUGUGGCGAAAGCGGCUCACUGGACCAUAACUGACGCUGAGGCGCGAAAGCUAGGGGAGCAAACAGGAUUAGAUACCCUGGUAGUCCACGCCGUAAACGAUGUCAACUAGCCGUUGGGAGCCUUGAGCUCUUAGUGGCGCAGCUAACGCAUUAAGUUGACCGCCUGGGGAGUAC